rnacentral:rRNA from 1 species
CUACGGGCGGCUCCAGUGGGGAAUAUUGGACAAUGGGGGAAACCCUGAUCCAGCAAUGCCGCGUGUGUGAAGAAGGCCUGCGGGUUGUAAAGCACUUUCGGUUGGGAGGACUGCUUCUAGCACUAAUAUUGUUGGAUGUUGACGUUACCUUCAGAAGAAGCACCGGCUAACUCCGUGCCAGCAGCCGCGGUAAUGCGGAGGGUGCAAGCGUUAAUCGGAAUUACUGGGCGUAAAGCGCGCGUAGGCGGCUAGAUCAGUCGGGUGUGAAAGCCCCGGGCUUAACCUGGGAACUGCAUCCGAUACUGUCUAGCUUGAGUACAGGAGAGGAGAGUGGAAUUCCACAUGUAGCGGUGAAAUGCGUAGAUAUGUGGAGGAACACCAAUGGCGAAGGCAGCUCUCUGGCCUGAUACUGACGCUGAGGUGCGAAAGCGUGGGGAGCAAACAGGAUUAGAUACCCCGGUAGUC